CGAAUGGGGAAACCCAGCAUGAGUUAUGUCAUGUUAUCGAUAUGUGAAUACAUAGCAUAUCAGAAGGCACACCCGGAGAACUGAAACAUCUUAGUACCCGGAGGAAGAGAAAGAAAAUUCGAUUCCCUUAGUAGCGGCGAGCGAAACGGGAAGAGCCCAAACCAACAAGCUUGCUUGUUGGGGUUGUAGGACACUCUAUACGGAGUUACAAAGGACGACAUUAGACGAAUCAUCUGGAAAGAUGAAUCAAAGAAGGUAAUAAUCCUGUAGUCGAAAAUGUUGUCUCUCUUGAGUGGAUCCUGAGUACGACGGAGCACGUGAAAUUCCGUCGGAAUCUGGGAGGACCAUCUCCUAAGGCUAAAUACUCUCUAGUGACCGAUAGUGAACCAGUACCGUGAGGGAAAGGUGAAAAGCACCCCGGAAGGGGAGUGAAAUAGAACCUGAAACCGUGUGCUUACAAGUAGUCAGAGCCCGUUAAUGGGUGAUGGCGUGCCUUUUGUAGAAUGAACCGGCGAGUUACGAUUUGAUGCAAGGUUAAGCAGUAAAUGUGGAGCCGUAGCGAAAGCGAGUCUGAAUAGGGCGUUUAGUAUUUGGUCGUAGACCCGAAACCAGGUGAUCUACCCUUGGUCAGGUUGAAGUUCAGGUAACACUGAAUGGAGGACCGAACCGACUUACGUUGAAAAGUGAGCGGAUGAACUGAGGGUAGCGGAGAAAUUCCAAUCGAACCUGGAGAUAGCUGGUUCUCUCCGAAAUAGCUUUAGGGCUAGCCUCAAGUGAUGAUUAUUGGAGGUAGAGCACUGUUUGGACGAGGGGCCCCUCUCGGGUUACCGAAUUCAGACAAACUCCGAAUGCCAAUUAAUUUAACUUGGGAGUCAGAACAUGGGUGAUAAGGUCCGUGUUCGAAAGGGAAACAGCCCAGACCACCAGCUAAGGUCCCAAAAUAUAUGUUAAGUGGAAAAGGAUGUGGCGUUGCCCAGACAACUAGGAUGUUGGCUUAGAAGCAGCCAUCAUUUAAAGAGUGCGUAAUAGCUCACUAGUCGAGUGACACUGCGCCGAAAAUGUACCGGGGCUAAACAUAUUACCGAAGCUGUGGAUUGUCCUUUGGACAAUGGUAGGAGAGCGUUCUAAGGGCGUUGAAGCAUGAUCGUAAGGACAUGUGGAGCGCUUAGAAGUGAGAAUGCCGGUGUGAGUAGCGAAAGACGGGUGAGAAUCCCGUCCACCGAUUGACUAAGGUUUCCAGAGGAAGGCUCGUCCGCUCUGGGUUAGUCGGGUCCUAAGCUGAGGCCGACAGGCGUAGGCGAUGGAUAACAGGUUGAUAUUCCUGUACCACCUAU
rnacentral:rRNA from 1 species